GGCUACCACAUCUAAGGAAGGCAGCAGGCGCGCAAAUUACCCAAUUCUAACAGCAUAAGAGAGGUAGUGACAAGAAAUAACAAUACAAGGUAAUUAAAUUGCUUUGUAAUUGGAAUGAUAGAAAUUUAAACACUUUUUAAAGUAUCAAUUGGAGGGCAAGUCUGGUGCCAGCAGCCGCGGUAAUUCCAGCUCCAAUAGCGUAUAUUAAAAUUGUUGCAGUUAAAAAGCUCGUAGUUGAAUUUCUGUUAAAAAUAACCGGUCUGCUUUUAUUAAAAGUGGUAUCUUGGUGUGUUUUUAGCAAUAAUGUCCUUUGAAAUGUUUUUUACUUUAUUGUAAUAAGUCGUUAUUUUGAGGAUUUUUACUUUGAGAAAAUUAGAGUGAUUCUAACAGGCUUACUCUUUUGAAUACUGCAGCAUGAAAUAAUAAGAUAGGAUUUUAGUUCUACGUUAUUGGUUUUAAGAACUAGAAUUAAUGAAUGAUAGGGAUAGGUGGG
rnacentral:rRNA from 1 species